ACAAGGACCCUUGGUGUCUCCGGGCUGGCACAGCCUUAGAGAGUCAAACUUUCCACUGCCCAGAUAGGGACACUGAGGCCCAGAGAGGGGCGGGAACUAUCUUGCUGGCACUUGCAGGCGAAGGCGAGAUGGGAGAAAGGGAAGGGAGACAAGGGGGAGGCGGCCUCUGGUUGCUAGUCCAGCGAGUGGCCCCUGGAAUUUUGUUCUGAGCCCGCCCGCCCAGAACCUCCGGCAGCCUGGGCCUGAACAAGGAGGUGGUUCUCUGCAGUCAGGGAGGCGGCUGUUGUGGAUUUCUGGAAGGGCUUGAGGCAGGCUCCCAGGUACUCUGGACACCCCAGCCCCCCACCCCGCUGCAGCCCUUUUUGCCCUAAAAUACAGGACGGGUCCUCUCUGUGUGAUCUCAAGACGGGACUCGGCGAGGGACGGACAGGAAGGCAUCACAGACUCUGAGGGUCUUCCCUCGCCUGCCAGCCCUGAGGCUCAGACAAGCUGAGAGUGGAAGAGGGCGAAGUGGGCCAGCCUGCCAAGCGUCCCAGGAAGAGGCCAUCGUCAGCCACCACCCCACGUGAUUGCUGGGAGCUCAGCGGCUUCCUGAGGGCCAGGACGCGCCCAGCUCCACCUGCGGGUAGAGCCGAGGGCCUUAGCACACCUCCUCCCCGUCCAGGGGGGCCCCAAUCCUCCCCUGGUCUGUUGUGCCCCAGUGUCCAGCGGAGUGAGGCCAAGAGCCUGGCCGCGUUGAGGAAGACUCCUGCAGGCGCUGCUCCCAGAACAAAGGGGAUGAAAGCGUUCUAAAGUUGACUGCGGUGAUGUCGCGCACCGAAUAUACUAAAAAUCACCGAACUGUACAUUUUAAAUAGGCGAAUUUUAUGGUAUGUGAAUGAUAUCUUAAUAAAGAUGUUUUUAAAAAUGAAAAAAGAAAAAGCCAUGUAAGACACGCCCAUUGCCCCAGGAGCCUUUAGCUGCGUCCAAGGCCCCACCCAGCCUGGGGCCCCAGGCCGCCCUCCACUGUGCCUUGCCCUGCUCUGGGGGCUGGGACCCCAGGAGCCAUCACUCAGGUCCUCAGCGUCCAGGAGUCCCAGUGGGAGCGAAAAGAGCCCUGAAUACAGUGGCCGGAGCUUUGCUAGG